AAAUUGAAGAGUUUGAUCAUGGCUCAGAUUGAACGCUGGCGGCAGGCCUAACACAUGCAAGUCGAACGGUAACAGGAAGCAGCUUGCUGCUUUGCUGACGAGUGGCGGACGGGUGAGUAAUGUCUGGGAAACUGCCUGAUGGAGGGGGAUAACUACUGGAAACGGUGGCUAAUACCGCAUAACGUCGCAAGACCAAAGAGGGGGACCUUCGGGCCUCUUGCCAUCAGAUGUGCCCAGAUGGGAUUAGC
rnacentral:rRNA from 9 species